CUGAACGGAUUGCUAAGCCAACCUAAUGCAAGUCCUUUCAUCUUCCCACAAGCAAAUUUUACCCACCUGCCCAACGAGAUUCGUGCUAAUGUGGAGUAUGUCUUUCGGGAAGGUGACAUCAACCAACCAAGCAAGUUCCUGGCUGCGAUACUGGCAGUUAGUGCUUCCCCUGCCAUUGCUACAACGAGUUCUCCAGCAGUGACCACCACAGCAGCU